UACGUAGGGUGCAAGCGUUGUCCGGAAUUAUUGGGCGUAAAGAGCUCGUAGGCGGUCUGUCGCGUCGGCUGUGAAAACCCGGAGCUCAACUCCGGGCCUGCAGUCGGAUACGGGCAGACUGGAGUUCGGCAGGGGAGACUGGAAUUCCUGGUGUAGCGGUGAAAUGCGCAGAUAUCAGGAGGAACACCGGUGGCGAAGGCGGGUCUCUGGGCCGAUGACUGACGCUGGAGGUGACGAAAGCGUGGGGAGCAAACAGG
rnacentral:rRNA from 1 species